AGCGAACGCUGGCGGCAGGCCUAAUACAUGCAAGUCGAACGCACCUUCGGGUGAGUGGCGGACGGGUGAGUAACGCGUGGGAACGUGCCCUUUGGUUCGGAACAACACAGGGAAACUUGUGCUAAUACCGAAUGUGCCCUUCGGGGAAGGAUUAUCGCCAUUGGAGCGGCCCGCGUUGGAUUAGCUAGUUGGUGGGGUAAAGGCCCACCAAGGCUACGAUCCAUAGCUGGUCUGAGAGGAUGAUCAGCCACACUGGGACUGAGACACGGCCCAGACUCCUACGGGAGGCAGCAGUAGGGAAUCUUGCGCAAUGGGCGAAAGCCUGACGCAGCCAUGCCGCGUGAAUGAUGAAGGUCUUAGGAUUGUAAAUU
rnacentral:rRNA from 1 species